GGCUUUAUAAAGAGUGCAUCUACUUAUAGCCUGUACAUUAUUCUGUUUAUCGUACUUCAACUCCAUGCUUCUUCAUGUUGAAUGAUGUGGCUGUUUCACUGUUUUUUUUUCUUUUUAGAUGAAGGAAUAGUAUGUAUCCUAGCCUAAACAAAAAGUAUCCGGCUGUUAUUACAAGAACAAAAGCGCACAAGUUUUGGGUGAACAGAUUAAAAGCAAAUACUAUUACUAAACCACCACCCAUUGUGUGCGAAGAUCUCCAUGGUUGUAGGCUCCAGUGCUUGACAAGCCCUUGGAAUAGAGUCUUAGAUUUCCUCGUUCUGAAACAGAGCCCAGAAC
rnacentral:lncRNA from 1 species